UGUAUAAUGGGUCAGCGACUUAUAUUCUGUAGCAAGGUUAACCGAAUAGGGGAGCCGAAGGGAAACCGAGUCUUAACUGGGCGUUAAGUUGCAGGGUAUAGACCCGAAACCCGGUGAUCUAGCCAUGGGCAGGUUGAAGGUUGGGUAACACUAACUGGAGGACCGAACCGACUAAUGUUGAAAAAUUAGCGGAUGACUUGUGGCUGGGGGUGAAAGGCCAAUCAAACCGGGAGAUAGCUGGUUCUCCCCGAAAGCUAUUUAGGUAGCGCCUCGUGAAUUCAUCUCCGGGGGUAGAGCACUGUUUCGGCAAGGGGGUCAUCCCGACUUACCAACCCGAUGCAAACUGCGAAUACCGGAGAAUGUUAUCACGGGAGACACACGGCGGGUGCUAACGUCCGUCGUGAAGAGGGAAACAACCCAGACCGCCAGCUAAGGUCCCAAAGUCAUGGUUAAGUGGGAAACGAUGUGGGAAGGCCCAGACAGCCAGGAUGUUGGCUUAGAAGCAGCCAUCAUUUAAAGAAAGCGUAAUAGCUCACUGGUCGAGUCGGCCUGCGCGGAAGAUGUAACGGGGCUAAACCAUGCACCGAAGCUGCGGCAGCGACGCUUAUGCGUUGUUGGGUAGGGGAGCGUUCUGUAAGCCUGCGAAGGUGUGCUGUGAGGCAUGCUGGAGGUAUCAGAAGUGCGAAUGCUGACAUAAGUAACGAUAAAGCGGGUGAAAAGCCCGCUCGCCGGAAGACCAAGGGUUCCUGUCCAACGUUAAUCGGGGCAGGGUGAGUCGACCCCUAAGGCGAGGCCGAAAGGCGUAGUCGAUGGGAAACAGGUUAAUAUUCCUGUACUUGGUGUUACUGCGAAGGGGGGACGGAGAAGGCUAUGUUGGCCGGGCGACGGUUGUCCCGGUUUAAGCGUGUAGGCUGGUUUUCCAGGCAAAUCCGGAAAAUCAAGGCUGAGGCGUGAUGACGAGGCACUACGGUGCUGAAGCAACAAAUGCCCUGCUUCCAGGAAAAGCCUCUAAGCAUCAGGUAACAUCAAAUCGUACCCCAAACCGACACAGGUGGUCAGGUAGAGAAUACCAAGGCGCUUGAGAGAACUCGGGUGAAGGAACUAGGCAAAAUGGUGCCGUAACUUCGGGAGAAGGCACGCUGAUAUGUAGGUGAAGUCCCUUGCGGAUGGAGCUGAAA
rnacentral:rRNA from 1 species